rnacentral:rRNA from 1 species
AGAUUGAACGCUGGCGGCAUGCCUUACACAUGCAAGUCGAACGGCAGCACGGGAGCAAUCCUGGUGGCGAGUGGCGAACGGGUGAGUAAUAUAUCGGAACGUGCCCAGUCGUGGGGGAUAACGCAGCGAAAGCUGUGCUAAUACCGCAUACGAUCUAUGGAUGAAAGCGGGGGAUCGCAAGACCUCGCGCGAUUGGAGCGGCCGAUAUCAGAUUAGCUAGUUGGUGGGGUAAAAGCCUACCAAGGCGACGAUCUGUAGCUGGUCUGAGAGGACGACCAGCCACACUGGGGACUGAGACACGGCCCAGACUCCUACGGGAGGCAGCAGUGGGGGAAUAUUGGACAAUGGGCGAAAGCCUGAUCCAGCAACGCCGCGUGAGGGAUGACGGCUUCGGGUUGUAAACCU